rnacentral:miRNA from 1 species
AGGUGAGAGGAUCACUUGAGCCCAGGAUGUUGAGGCUGCAGUGAGCUGUGAUCAUACCACUGCACUCCAGCCUGGGUGACAGAGCAACACCCUGUCUCA